rnacentral:rRNA from 1 species
GCUUAGGGAGGAGCUUGCGUCACAUUAGUUAGUUGGUGGGGUAAAGGCCUACCAAGACUAUGAUGUGUAGCCGGGCUGAGAGGUUGAACGGCCACAUUGGGACUGAGACACGGCCCAAACUCCUACGGGAGGCAGCAGUAGGGAAUUUUCGGCAAUGGAGGAAACUCUGACCGAGCAACGCCGCGUGAACGAUGAAGUAUUUCGGUACGUAAAGUUCUUUUAUUAGGGAAGAAUAAAUGAUGGAAAAAUCAUUCUGACGGUACCUAAUGAAUAAGCCCCGGCUAACUAUGUGCCAGCAGCCGCGGUAAUACAUAGGGGGCAAGCGUUAUCCGGAAUUAUUGGGCGUAAAGGGUGCGUAGGCUGUUAAAUAAGUUUAUGGUCUAAGUGCAAUGCUCAACAUUGUGAUGCUAUAAAAACNGUUUAGCUAGAGUAAGAUAGAGGCAAGUGGAAUUCCAUGUGUAGUGGUAAAAUGCGUAAAUAUAUGGAGGAACACCAGUAGCGAAGGCGGCUUGCUGGGUCUUUACUGACGCUGAGGCACGAAAGCGUGGGGAGCAAACAGGAUUAGAUACCCUGGUAGUCCACGCCGUAAACGAUGAGUACUAAACGUUGGGUAAAACCAGUGUUGAAGUUAACACAUUAAGUACUCCGCCUGAGUAGUACGUACGCAAGUAUGAAACUUAAAGGAAUUGACGGGACUCCGCACAAGCGGUGGAUCAUGUUGUUUAAUUCGAAGGUACCCGAAAAACCUCACCAGGUCUUGACAUGCUUCUGCAAAGCUGUAGAAACACAGUGGAGGUUAUCAGUUGCACAGGUGGUGCAUGGUUGUCGUCAGCUCGUGUCGUGAGAUGUUGGGUUAAGUCCCGCAACGAGCGCAACCCUUAUUGUUAGUUGCCAGCACGUAAUGGUGGGGACUUUAGCAAGACUGCCAGUGAUAA